rnacentral:rRNA from 1 species
CCCUUAGAUGUCCUGGGCCGCACGCGCGCUACACUGAUGCAUUCAACGAGUCUACCUUGGCCGAGAGGCCUGGGCAAUCUUGUUAACCUGCAUCGUGAUAGGGAUAGAUUAUUGCAAUUAUUAAUCUUGAACGAGGAAUUCCUAGUAAACGCAAAUCAUCAAUUUGCAUUGAUUACGUCCCUGCCCUUUGUACACACCGCCCGUCGCACCUACCGAUUGAAUGGUCCGGUGAAGCCUCGGGAUUGUGGCCAGUUCACUUUAUUGGGAGUUGGCUGUGAGAACUUGUCUAAACCUUAUCAUUUAGAGGAAGGUGAAGUCGUAACA